rnacentral:lncRNA from 1 species
AAUUUGCUGUGAGGAUUGUGAUUGCUUUGGUGGUUAGGAGGUGAUUUUGCUCCGGUGAUUUGCAAGUAGGAGGUGGUAUUGCUCUGCUGAACUUGCUGUUGAGAGGUAUUGCUCUAAUAUCUUGUUAGUUUUUAGUUUUUGGCUUAGUUAUAUGAUGUCUUUGAGUGCAUUGCUCUGAUAUUGUAGUUGCAUAAUUGGUCUCAUAUAUCUCAUGUUUUGGGUGCUUUGAUAAUCACUGUUAGUAUGAAUUUUUUCCAGAUUCUUUCCAAGUGUGCAUGAAUUUCAAGAGUAAAUAUUAUAGGAAACCGAUCUGAUUGGUUUGUGACAUAUCAUAUAUGCUUCAAAUAUGUGUGCAUAUAUUGGUUUCAAAUAUUAACAGUAUUUGUGAAUGUUGAAUUUUGUGUUAGUUAUCUUUAGUUCAGAUUGUAAUUUAUUUGGAUUUAUAAAAUUGUUUAGGUGUAAAAGGGUUCUAGUUUAGCAUGAUUAAGAGCUGGAUAAAUUGUACAAGAGAUCUUCAUAUUUUAUUUAUUGUCCUUUCUCUCUGUUGUUGCUGGAUUUGUUGUCGGUUAUUGAAUUCAUUUACAUCGUUUUUGUUAGAGCUUCAAUUGAAUUUUGAAACAAAAACAAGCUUCACUUGGGGGUUAAUUGUUUGAGAUUAACUGGUUGAUCUAUUUUGCAAUUCCAAUUUCUCCAUGUUCGGUGCCUGUGCCAUUGCCCCUUUUUCUCGAGAAAAAAGAAGCUAAAAUAAGAAGGAUAAACACAAGGGGUAUUUGGAAGGUUGAAGUCUUUAAAGUAUCUUCAUCUUCUAUACAUUGCAUCUUUUUUCUUGUUUUGGCUAAUUUCUACACAUUGUAUUUUACUUUAGCAAGUUUGCCUAGUGUUUCCACUGAUUGAGUGGUUAGGCUAGUUCAACUUAAUAACAAUAGGUCAGAUUGUAGCUUAAGCAAACGAUACGGAUUUGGUUUUAAUAGUUCAGUUGUGAAUAGCAUUGUAUUAAAGGUGAGGUCUGACUGAAGUAGUGAGUAUUUGGAAGACGUAUAAAGUAAGGAUGGCAUAGAGGUCUGACAGGUCUACAUUUAUAUUUACAAGGAUAUCAGUUAGUAGAGCCCUCAACAAAAUAGAGUUUUAGGCAAGAAGGAAAGCAUACCAGAUGAACUGAAAUUUCUUAAGCAUAAUUGCUGAAGAUCAGACCCAUAUUGGACGGCGACAAAGUCACUUUUGGAAGAACUGUGAUGCAGCACCUGUAAUGGGUUAUUGGUCUUUUGAAGAUAGGAUGUCAUUUUGAUCAAGUUGAAGCAUUUUCAGUCCAAAUGAAGAUGAUAAUGGAGUCAGUAAUUGGUAAAACAGAUUGCUCAGCGUCUGCUAACAGCAAUAUUUUUGUAUCGGGUAAUUUCUAUCAUUGAUUUGGUUUCAGUAUUUUGGACAUGAGAAAUAUCCAGAUAUUUUAGUUUCAAGAUUUGAAAAGAAAUAGAUUUGCUACUAGAUGCUUUAGUGGGAUAGGUGUGUAUGUUGUUUUGUACAUGAUUUGUGCUUAUGAAUAUGUCAACAAGUUGGAGGUUUAGUGCUCAAGUUUGGUAAGAUUGGUGGGGAGAGAUUUAGUGCACAACAGGUUUUUGAUAAAAGUCCUGACCCAAUUCAGAAUUACGGAGGUUGAUGUAAUGGAAACAUUGAUAAAGCUUGGUAAAAUAAAGGUACAGGAAAUCAGAAAAAUGCAGAGGAUAUGAAAGAAGGAUGCAUUAAGGCUGAUGAGGUUCAUAAUUCAUUGAUUGAUAUGCAUGUGUAUGGAUAUUGGAUGUGCCAAGCAAGUUUUUCAUGAGAUCAUUGUUAGAUAUCUUGAAGAACUAGACAUUGUAUUAAGAAGAAUGUAGACAUAAUAUGACUGGUAUUUGAACUCAAGCAUUGAAGAUGAGUUUAAAGACUGAAAGUAAUCAUAUUGGUCAAACUCAAUAAUCAGUUAGAAUUUGAAAUUCAUUUAAUACAGUUAUAUGGUAUAAAUCUGAUUUGACAUUAAAGCAAGUAUAUUCAGGCAAGAAUAAAAAUUCAUUUCGUUGGCGACUUAGUUUACAGUUUGACAUAAAGGUAACUUGUUCAUAUUCAUAUGUUUGAUUCCUGCAGGUACACAAUGGCGUAGCCAGAAAAACCAACUAGAAGGGUCAAAAUAUAUAUAAAUAGCGAAGAUCAUAUUAAACAAAAAUAUCAUUAAAUGAAAAAACUUGCAUGAAUUUGUUUAUGCUUCAGAUAGUUUAAGAACAUAAAUCAUUACAAUAUGGAAAAAUAGCAAGUUUCUCGAAACAGUUAAAUUUGUUCAUGACAAUUCCUCAUAUUUUAUAUUUUUUUCUUGAUGGCCGGUUUCGUUAUCAAAUAUUCUGUCACGAGAUAUAUAUAUAUCAUGCUGCCUUUCGGUUUCAAAAAUUUCUUCUCAUAAUUUCCAUAGCAUGAUGAUAGACUCGAAAGAAUUAGUGUUAAUGGUGUAGAAAAGAACUAGGAGUGAAAAACAUGUAUAAACUAGAAGCGAAAAUAUGCAAAAUAAGCAUUCAUCGAUUAAUCAGGCAAUGCAAAUAUGUAAUAAAAACAGAAUCAAUGAGUUCCCUCCACAUAUUCAUAGUGAAUGAGCCAAACAUUUUAAAACACUUUCUUUUCUCUUAAGUUACAAGGGUAAAAAAUUACAUCAAAAUAUAAUAUAUGCAUGCACAACCUCUAAUUAUACCCACCAAUCAUGGUUUGGUCAAAAACUUAGAGGGGUCAUAUGAACCUCCUCGUCCUACCGUGGCUACGCCACUAACACUGCCUUAUUGUGAUUCACUACUUUUCAGAUGUACUUAACUCUGACGUUUUGACCUCUUAAUGUGGUGAUUUCUUUCAGGUUGACUCCUUCCGGAAAGGCAUAAUGAAUUUUGGAACAUCACUAUGCCAAAGAUUGAAUAUAAAGCAUCUGGUUACCAGUACUCCUGUUUACAGCAGUG